UUUUGUUAUCAUGUAUUUGCUAUCGUUAAUUUCGCCUUUUUAAUUAAAGUUUAAUCAAAACGAUUCUUAGUAGCUAAUAAUCGAUCAGCAAAAUACCCCUUCCCAAGGCAUUUCAGUUCGCCACAGACCUGGCUGCCACAAAAAUAUAUUUCGUUAAAUUAGUGUCAUUAUACGAUAUGGUGGUGGCUGGUGGCAAAAAAAUUCUAAAAAUCUCGUGCUUUGAUCAAAUGCUGUGUGUUGUGCACGCUGUACUUAUGAAUGUGACAAAAAAUCAGCAUCAAAAGCACACAGUGUUUGCUGAUUUCAGCAGACUUAUUUCUCUGGGUGUAUUGUAAUUUCCUUAACAUUUUACGCAAGCAAUUGCCAAGAUGUAAGAAACAAUCCUUGAGGAACUGUUGGCAUUGACAGUAAUCUGGAAAGGGUGGAGCCAAAACCUCUGACAUAAUCUUAAUUAGAUCCACAUAUUUAUUAAGGGCCUUGGAGUAGUCACCAGUAUCAUAGAGUCUUUUGGCGGUGCGAGACAUCAUUUCCGUAUCCUGAAAUUUUGAAAAUUAAAUAUUAAAAACAUUAAAAAAAAUUGCUUUAUAAAAUCU